GCGGAUAUGGCCUAGUGGUAAAAUUUCUCUUUGACAAGGAGAAGACGCGGGUUCGAUUCCCGCUAUCCGCC
rnacentral:tRNA from 1 species